AUUACAGGCACCCACCACCACACCUGGCUAAUUUUUGUGUUUUUAGUAGAGAUGGGGUUUUUCUGUGUUGGCCAGGCUGAUCUUGAACUCCUGACCUCUCGUGAUCCACCCGCUUUGGCCUCCCAAAGUGCUGGGAUUAUAGGCAUGAGCCACCGCACCUGGCUGUUGAGCAACUUCUUAUUACAGCAGUAAUGAAAUCUUUUGAGGACACGAGGCCCUAUUUAGGAGUGGAUGAAACUUAAAACACACAUUCAGCCUGCUAGUAUUUAAAUCCCAUUUGGUUUUCAUUUCUCAGAAAAAGCAAAUAGUGAAAAGUUCAGAAUUACCACGUUUCUGUCUGCUAGAACACCUUCUAAAAAAGGCUUACAAGAUAAAGUCUUAUGUAACACAUAAAAAAAAUCCCUCUCUGAUUAUAUAUUGUGCCAAGCAACUUUUCUAAGAAAAGAAGGAAGGGCUGGGGUAUGUGGAGGAGGCUAAAGUUUUGAGUAUUUGUAUGGGUCCAUAUCCUCACCAGGACUUUGAGUAGAAUUUUGCUUAUAGACAUGACCUUAUGGAAAAGAAGAAUUUCCUCUUGUGGAUAACUCAGAAUCCAACUUUGAAUCUUACUGAUCUUUGUAUCAUAUUAUUGCUUCCUUAAGUAAACUUUCUGAUCUGGCUAUAUUGGAUAACUCAUGGAUCCCUCUCUGCACACACCAUGUUCAUUGCCUUUUCUGUGCCUUUCAUGGAUUGUUGGUCUCUCUUAACCUGGUGCUGGCACACUGCCAAUGACUGCAUAGGCCUAUGGAGUGCCAUUCGCAGACUUUAUUGGGAAAUGCACUCUCUAGGAGUUGUGUCACAGGUGGUCCUCUAUUUUGCUUGUCUGGGGUUAUCCUUCAAGGCUAAGUGUCAUCCCUGUGGGAGGUUUUCUUUGACCUACUAAGAUUUCCGUAGUCCACCCUCUUCUAAACGCUCGAGGCACUCGUCCAUUGAAUUGAUGGUGACAAGGUCUAUCUUGUUGUUGUAGUUAUAUAAUCUCUUAUUUUAAAAGUCUUAGGGCCAGAUAUAUUUUGGAAUGUGUACAUUUUUGGAUUUUGCUCCAUAAUACUCCUAGUGAGAUCUGGGGCAGCAAUCUGUCAAAUGCAAUAAAAUUUCUGCCGUGCAACAGAAGGUGAGACUUAGCUUCAUGUUGAUCCAAUUCACGGUAUUUAACCUUACGAUUUCAGAAGAGGUUCGGCUAUCAAAUGAGUUUUUGCCCAUUUGCUAUCAAAGGAUUACGGAAUUAUAUUAUGGCUUGCUUAAUCAAAUGAAAUGGAACCAUUUACAAGGAGUGAUUAUAUUCCAUAUUUGUCAUCCCAGUACUUAGCACAAACUACCAGAAUAGAUGCUCAAGCAUCAUUUAAUUGUUACUAGGGAGAUGGUAGAAAGCCAUUUUAUGAUUUACUCUAAGCUGUCCACAUUUCCCUGAGCAAAUGUAAAUAGGGAAAAUUAAAUUCUUGAAAAAUAUUAACUCUUGAUUACCCCCUACUGGGAAAUAAAAAUUAAUGACCUUAUAUCUCAUGGAGUGCUUUCAGGGUUACAAAACCACAAAUUUUUUUAAAAAAAGCUUGGAGAAGAAUAAAAAUGUGUUCUAAGUUAGCACUGAUAUACUCUAUUGGAGGAGGCUAUUGGCGCAGGCAGAGCAGUAACUGAGACCAGGACAGGAAGUAGUUACAAUAUGAAUGAUGUGAAUAUGUUUUCAAGCCAAAUAUGUAUCAUCGACAACUGAUUACAAUGGCUGGGAAAUCCAGGACAGAAGAACUAGAAGUUUCUCCAAACUUGGCUUUGAAAUUAAAAAAAAAAAUGUGUUUACAAGGACUAUUUCCUAAUUAUAUUAUUUCUACAAUGAGCCCAAAUGGCAAAGACCAUAAUUUUUCCCUCUGGAUUUGGAGCUGAUAGGCUAUUCAACAGCCGCACACACAAUCAUCAUCUAUAAUAAUUUCUAUCUGCCCAAUAGACAUAAGUUAAUUAUAGAAUCAUAUCCUCUGCAUUUGACAAAUGAGCAUUUGAGGUCCAGGGAAACAAAAGCAACUGGACUGAAAUCUUAUCUGCCUAGAAAACCUACAAGUUGAAAUUAGAACUCAGGACUUCUGACCUCAGGAUCUCAGUCCAGCUAUGACCGAGAAACCAAGGAACUCACUAUCUUGUCCUCUUGGAUGCCAGCUAUAAAUUGAAUCAAGUUGGACACCGGAAUUUUGACCACUUUCCACCUUUCUAUCGUGGUCAGGUUUCUUCAUGAGAAGAGGAGAUUCGGUCACAGGCAUGUACAGAAGAAGACUGUGUGAAGACACAGAAGAAGUUAUCUACAAACCAACGAGAGAGGCUUCAGAAGAAACCAACAUUGUUGACACCCUGAUCUUGGAUUUCUAGACUCAGGAAUUAUGAGAAAAUAAAUUUUUAUUGUUUAAGCCACCCAGUCUGUGGUACUUUCUUAUGGCAUCCCUGGCUAAUGAAUACAGGAGGCAGCUAAAGGAAUUGAGGAUUAUGCCUAGUUUUGUGGCUUGAGAAAUGGGGUAUUUAGAGGUCUCAUUACCAGGACGAGUAAGAUUGAGGAAAGAACAUGUUUGGAAUCUAUAUGGGAAUGUUGGUGGUGGGAAAAACUGAGAGGUAAAUGUAGUAGUUUAUGUGUGGGAUGCCUAUGCACAUGCAAGAAAAGAUAUCAAGGAGGCAAUGGUAUGUGCAAAUCUGGAAAUUUUAUAAAUUCUUAUGCAGAUGACUUAAAUAAAUAAAUUUGAACCCUGUCAUCUAUUCUCAAUCCCUUCUGGAUUUCAACCAAAAGGGCUGUUAUAUGGGGCUAGCAUCAUAUAUCAAUGUCAGUAAGUUAGAUUGUCCAUUACUUUGUAUUGAAUGGAACUAUGUGCUGCAUGAUUUCUGUGUCUCUAAAAGUCAACAGACCUUGGGCAGACACAGAAGUUUAAAUGUCACCCUGAAAAACCACUCUAAAUUAGGAGGCAGUUGCGACAUUCUAAACAAAUUUAGUAGAUUACAUAUCAUGAGAUAUGGCUUUGGGUUCAAACUCUACCCUUUUUAGAUUAGUGUUCUUGGAUCAUAAUCUCUGAGACUUAGAUUUUUCGUUCAUUUUAUAGUGAAUCUCAUUAGGGCUACUUCACUUGACUUAGGGUAUUUUUGGAAUUUUCAGGGUGAGUUUUUUUGUUGCAUGAUUGAGGAGUUCUAGUUAUUAGAAGCUCUGUGAAGUCCUGCAAAAUGAUUUGACACAAAGCCUUCUUGGAUGUGUACUUACAGUUGCACAACUUGAAAAUAUUCUGUACAUUACAAGUGGGGUUAUAGUCACACACACACGCACACAUUUAACACAUUUGUGUAUUAAUUUUACUUCAGGACUGUAAAGUGUUACAAAAUUCUAGCUAUUAAAAGAGGGCAUUGCACCAAGUUAUGUUGUGUUGAGAACCACUGACCUAUAAUAUCUUUUUAUUGCCUUUAUUAUUUUGAAUGGACACAUAAUUAUACAAUUUAUGGGGCACAGUGUGAUAUUUUGAUGCAUGUAUAUCAUGAAUAGUGAUCAAAUCAGGGUAACUAGCAUAUCCAUCACCUCAACCAUUUAUCAUUUCUUUGUACAUGGAUAAAGAAAAUGUGGUGUAUCCAUUUGUCUGUUGACAAACACUUAGGUUUGGCCAUUGUGAAUAGUACUGCAAUAACCAUGGGAGUGCUUUCAUAUUGCUUUCCUUUCAAUAUGAUAUAUAUCUAUAUAUCUAUAUAUCUAUAUCUAUAUAUAUAUACACUCACAUACACACAUAUGGGGGAUAUAGAAAUGGAAGAAAGAAAGAAGAUCACAUUUUUACCUAACGCUUUCUUCUUUUCUAUUGUUACUUUCUUUAUAUUUUUAUCUUUGAAGCUCAGAUUUAUCAUAAAUGUUGUAUACAAUUUUAAAUAUUUUCCUUUUCCUAAUUGUUUGUGGUAGCAAAGUAACAUUCUGCUUUUAAGGUCUUCUUACCAGAUGUGAAAUAUUCCCAAGUAUUCCCAAAUGAAGCAAAACUUUUCUUGAAAACCUGUGCCCUAAAUAGAAUCAAGUAACUAAAAAUUAAACACAGCCCAUAAAAAUUUUUUGCUUCAUGUUAUAAAUGCCAGUACAAAAAAUAAAUAGAAGAUUAAGUUGCUAUAAUCCAAUUUUUAAUAGCCUUUUUUUUGUAUGAUGCAAUGGUUUGAAUGUUUUUCUCUCCAGAUCUCAUGUUGAAAACUAAUCCUCAAUGCAGCAGUAUUGAAAGGUGAGGCCUUUAAGAGGUGAUUGGGUUAUGAGGACUCUGCUUAAAUAAAUUGAAGCAUCAUUUAUGGAUUAAUGAAUUAGUGGAUUAUCACAGGAAUGGGACUGGUGGACCUUUAAGAGGAAUAUAUAUACACACACAUAUAUAUUUGUUCCAUUGAUCUAAGUUGGAAGGGAAGGUUUAGUAAGAAAUACGUAGUAUAAUAACUAACUGGUGGAGCCCUCUGAUGACUGAUGAUUCUGGCAGGUGAUUUUAUCUGCUCUAUAAUGUCAAAAUUUAAAAAUCAUAAUUAUGAAAAUUUUAACUAUAAAAUGUAAUACACUAUAAAAUACAGUUUUAGAUUUAUUCUGGUACCUCGUAAGUUUAUUGGGGUAGACUAUAUAAGACUAUAAAUCUUUAAUCUAUAAGCAUUAGAUUUUGGUCACAGUUUUGGCUAAAUAUUUAAUUUUUAAAAGAUUAAGCUAAAAGGUGUAUUAUUUGGUACUACACUCAUUGCUAUUGCUAUUAUUCUUUUGCUGCUAGAAGUUGAAAAGUUUGUUUCCUUAUUGAGAAUAUAAAUAAAACAAAUUACUUUGUGUUAACUUUCAAUAUAGACCAGGUCUUUAUGCUAUGUUUCUUGGGCAGAGAAGAGGAGGUCUUACCUGGAUUAUGUUGCACAAAACAAACAAAUGAAAAAUAAUGUAAUAGCCAAGCUCCCCCCUUGACCCUGCAAAUAGCUUAUAGAAGUAGCCUGAGAGUAUCAUA
rnacentral:lncRNA from 1 species